rnacentral:rRNA from 1 species
AUGAUAGGUAUCUUUUGGAAUUGUUGGGGGGCAGGUAAGAAGGGCAUGUCUACCUGCCUCACUAACAUGAUUAAUGCCAAUGGGGUGGACUUCCUUGGGUUGCAAGAAACUAUGAAAGGCAACUAUACCCCUUCCUUCUUUAGGAAAUUGGAUCCAUAUCAAAAGUUUCAUUGGGAGUGGAACCCUUCUAGGGGGGAAUCUGGAGGCAUCCUUUGUGGUCUUAAUAAAGACAAGUUUGAUAUCGGGGUUAAACACGGGAAAUUUAUUUUACAAAUUGACCUUUUCGAUAGGAUCAAAAAUUGCAAAUGGCCCUUGAUGGUUGUAUAUGGUGCUGCUCACGAUGAGCACAAACCUGAAUUUAUGGCAGAAGUUGUUGGGAAACGCAGUAAUUUCAAAAAAAUUCCUACGCACACGCAAGAUCCAUCUAGGUGA